rnacentral:lncRNA from 10 species
UUAACAACAUCUGGGCUCUUCUUGACUUUUGGAAUCCGAUAACCUCAAAGUAAUGGGAGAAGAUACACAAGUGAUCAUUGCCAGGACUGAAGACUGUUCCUAGGACUACUAUUUGGAUCAACAGAAGCUGAAAAUGAGAAUAUCAAAGGCUGGGCAGAUAGUUUCACUCACGGGCAUUGAUCAGGAUGGCUGGAGGUCACCUGCUGCAAGAAGCACUGUGUUUUCUGUGCAGCUUAAUGAGAGGGAGCAUAUCAUUUCAGGACUCUCACAGGAUGCAGUGUUACUGAGAAUCUCAUGAGGCAAAUCCUAAAUGCCAGGAUAAAUUUG